CCCCGAGAUGAGUUCUCCCUGAGACUUUAAGUCUCCUGAAGGAACGUUGAAGACGACGACGUUGAUAGGCCGGGUGUGUAAGCGCAGCGAUGCGUUGAGCUAACCGGUACUAAUGAACCGUGAGGCUUAACCUUACAACGCCGAAG
rnacentral:rRNA from 1 species